rnacentral:rRNA from 1 species
UACGUAGGUGGCAAGCGUUGUCCGGAUUUACUGGGCGUAAAGGGCGCGUAGGCGGCGAUUCAAGUGACGGGUGAAAUCCCUCGGCUUAACCGAGGAACUGCCUGUCAGACUGGAUGGCUUGAGACCGGGAGAGGUGAGUGGAAUUCCCAGUGUAGCGGUGAAAUGCGUAGAUAUUGGGAGGAACACCAGUGGCGAAGGCGGCUCACUGGACCGGAACUGACGCUGAGGCGCGAAAGCGUGGGGAGCAAACAGG